AGGGGCCUGGGGGGCGGGCUUACACAUGCAGUCGAACGAUGAACCGCUUUCGGGCGGGGAUUAGUGGCGAACGGGUGAGUAACACGUGGGCAAUCUGCCCUGCACUCUGGGACAAGCCCUGGAAACGGGGUCUAAUACCGGAUAUGACUGUCCAUCGCAUGGUGGAUGGUGUAAAGCUCCGGCGGUGCAGGAUGAGCCCGCGGCCUAUCAGCUUGUUGGUGAGGUAGUGGCUCACCAAGGCGACGACGGGUAGCCGGCCUGAGAGGGCGACCGGCCACACUGGGACUGAGACACGGCCCAGACUCCUACGGGAGGCAGCAGUGGGGAAUAUUGCACAAUGGGCGAAAGCCUGAUGCAGCGACGCCGCGUGAGGGAUGACGGCCUUCGGGUUGUAAACCUCUUUCAGCAGGGAAGAAGCGAAAGUGACGGUACCUGCAGAAGAAGCGCCGGCUAACUACGUGCCAGCAGCCGCGGUAAUACGUAGGGCGCAAGCGUUGUCCGGAAUUAUUGGGCGUAAAGAGCUCGUAGGCGGCUUGUCACGUCGGUUGUGAAAGCCCGGGGCUUAACCCCGGGUCUGCAGUCGAUACGGGCAGGCUAGAGUUCGGUAGGGGAGAUCGGAAUUCCUGGUGUAGCGGUGAAAUGCGCAGAUAUCAGGAGGAACACCGGUGGCGAAGGCGGAUCUCUGGGCCGAUACUGACGC
rnacentral:rRNA from 1 species